rnacentral:lncRNA from 1 species
AAAUGCUCUAAAGUGCAAAACUUUUUGGGCAUCAACAUGACUUUUAAAAGAAAUGCUCAUUGGAGCAUUUUGAAUUUCAAAUUUUCAGAUUAGUGAUGCUCAGCUAGUAAUAUUACUGUAAAUAUUCCAAAAUCUGAAAAAGUCUGAAACAUCUCUGGUCUCAAGCAUUUCAGAUAAGGGACACUCGAUCUACCAACAAAGGAGAGAGCCCCUUGAAAAGGGCACUCUGAAUCACUCUUCUGGUGAAGAUCUCUGGGAGUUACAUGCAAGCGGUGGGCCUGGGCCCAUUUCCACAUCCCACAAAGAGUGCAUUUACUUUGUGUAUCCAGAAGAGCAAAACUCCCAACUCUACUGCUUUGUUUUCAAACGGACAGCCAAGCAUUCGAUGUCUUCAGCUUCACUCUCUACUUUGUGCUUGGGUUCCAUUUCUGGUUCAUAUAGUCAAGGUUUAUUGAGCACAAUAUGAUGGUGUAGGCAUCUUUGGAGAUAUGCUAUCUGCAGGUUCAGCUUUGGAGAUUCAGAAGUGACAUGCACAUGCCUCUGACACUCUCAUGGAGUUCACAGUUGGAGAAGUCACCAGAAUGGAACCUUUUUGUUAAGCUUUCCCUUUACCUCAGAUAGACAGCUGUCCUUGACAAACACAAAGUCAGUCUUGGCUGUCUCAGAAAAGCACUGUGUGUCAAUGUCAGAGAGCCCAGUGGGCCUAGCAUAAGGUUCACAACAUUUCUAACUCUUCAAAUCAAGUAUUAUUUUGGAAGUUGCCAACUUAACAAGCAACUUUGACUCCAUGCAAACUAAAAAUGGCAUUUGAAAGUUGAAAUUUCAUUAAAUCUGCUGUUUUCUGAGACUUCAUCCAACUGGGACAUCUGUUUGUAACACCAAAGGGGUAUGUAAUCCCAAAAUUAUGAUUGGAUUAUAUUCAAGUCAUUAAAAAAGAUGAAUUCAUGA